rnacentral:rRNA from 1 species
UACGGGGGGUGCAAACGUUGCUCGGAAUCAUUGGGCGUAAAGCGCACGUAGGCGGCGCGUUAAGUCGGAUGUGAAAGCCCCGGGCUCAACCCGGGAAGUGCAUACGAAACUGGCGCGCUUGAAUAUGGAAGAGGGUCGCGGAAUUCCCGGUGUAGAGGUGAAAUUCGUAGAUAUCGGGAGGAACACCAGUGGCGAAGGCGGCGACCUGGGCCAAUAUUGACGCUGAGGUGCGAAAGCGUGGGGAGCAAACAGG